GGGGGCGUAGCUCAGUUGGUAGAGCAGCGGGCUUUUAACCCGUAGGUCGUGGGUUCGAUCCCCACCGCCCUCA
rnacentral:tRNA from 1 species